GAGUCGUAUUACACCAUUCUAACCAUCGAAUGAUCAGUAUGGGGCGAGAGUAGCAGAAGAGAUCGAGAGGUACCGCGCCCUAGUUAAAAAAGGAGGAAGUCUUAGGAAGAAGCAUGCGACCACUGUGUAGUGUCGGGUGGUGUGAAGGAGAAGAGAAAUUUGUGAUUUGUGUCGAGAUCAAAGGCAGAGGAAGGAGAGGGAGGCGGCGGUGUUGAAGGCUUACUUGGACCGAGCCACGAUCGAAGGAGGAGGUCAAAGGAGGAAGAAUGAAAUCUUAGCGCCCUAGUCGAACGGUCUCGCCUUUGUUCUCGUGCGCUGCUACUGUGCGAAAGAGGAAGAACAAGCCUGCGUCGUGCGUGGAGAAGUGAUGCUGUGCUUGUGUGCGAUGGAAGAAGUCGACAGAGUAGAUGAAGGCGAUGGAUAAGAGAAGCCGAGGUAGGAGGUAAAGUGCAUGGCUUUGUCGAGAGGAGAAGAGGCGCGAGCUGCGGGAAGGAGUAGAGGAAGGAGAGCCAAAGGUUUUCAUGCAUAAGCUAGGACAGCCGACCGAAUGCUUGUAAGGCAAUGAUGCUUGAUGAGAUGAAUGCCUUGUCCAAAAAUGGAACUUGAGAACAGUUUGAACUAUCUUUUGGGAAGAAGACCAUUGGCUCAAUUGCCAUUGAAUCAUUGACAAUAAGAACAUCCGAGCAAUCAUUACUCUUAUCUUCAUCGCUUGCUGUACGCCGCAUUUUCGGAACGAAAGGCACAUUGAAACUGAGAAGAUCAGUAUCUACCCAAGGAAAUCCGACAAUUUUCUAAUGAAUCAUCACUCUGUGGGCUCGUCAACCAAAAAUACAAGAGUUCUACCGACCAACUUACCAUCACACACAAGAAAUUUACAGACAUGACACAUAAAUCUCAUAAACCAGAGGUAAAAAAAUGGCAUCUUCAGUUCUUCGAUCCGUCCUUCAGUUUGCCUUAACUUCGAGAUUUAGCAAAUCCCGUUGGGAGAUGGAUAUACUGGAUUCAGAAGGGCUGACGCGCGUGAAGGCGGCAAGGAUAGAAGAGGCGACAGAGAGGUGAGGUUUGUUCUUUGACUUAACCCAUGCUCUAAUCUUAUAAGAAGAAGAGGCGGUAGAAGAAGGCGAGAAGAAGAACAAGAAAGCGACACAACGAAUCGAGAGAAAAAGGAAAGAUAUUGCGAGUCCGGAUUGGGAAGUCAGUAGAAAAAAGGAAAGAGAAGAAUCGCAUGAUUGCAGGAAGAAAAAUGUAAGAUUUUUUUGUUCUUACAUACAACCAUCCUUCUCGUUAGCUUGAUCACCAAGUUGAGGUCCACAAUGUUUGGUUCUUACGAUGGGAAAGAGCUAUUAAAGUCUAUCUCGUUAGCUUGAUCACAUAGUUGACGGUCCAUCUGUGUAAGGAUGAAAAGAGGUUAAACACUUAUCUACGAACCCGGCUACAACAAUUUUCAUACCUAGCCACCAAAAUAGCUUCUUUUGAUCUUGAUACAUCUUAGUACUUUCUGGAUGAGCUGAAUAUGGAGUAGAAUGUGCCUCACCGAGUAUCUUCAGUCGAAGUCCUUCCUGAUUUGGAACACACAGUCGAUCUUGAAAUCUUAAAGUGUCAUCUUGAUAGAUAUCAAACUCGGGCUUUAAUCCAUUCUUUGUUUGCUCUCUAAGCUAUGGUAAGUCUACAUCCAUCAAUUGAGUUACACAAACACAGUCCACAAGUGUAGGCUAAAUUGACAAUUGAUACAUGCUAGGAGUUGGUCUUAACAAUAGAAGAAAACAUUCUUUUGCUUUUUUGGUUACUUGGGUAGCUUAUAUGAGCAUUUUUUCGUGGAUAUCGGGUUCAAGGUGCAUCGAUCCGAUCCUGUUUAGACGUACACCCUUGACCUAUCACACGAGAUUUACCUCCCAUAAGCUCUCCAGGUUCUUCAAAUUUGUUUACAUAGCCUCCGUUUUAAUCCUUUUUUUUUAAUCCCUUCUCGUUCAUACGAUUCAAGUAAGAGGUCCAUUGGAAAUGGGAAAAUCCUAAAACAAUGACUAGACGGGCUGGAGACUCCGAGUUACAAAAAGAACUGAAACAUCAGACAUUUUGAAGAACUACGUGUGGCUUGUCCCCUGUCGGGAGAGAGAGGGAACAUAUAUAAUCAUCUUGGUGCAGCUGAAUUGAAGAUUGGAGCUCAUUUGAUCACCUAUCAUUUAUUUGGAAGUAAGAGAUGAGGUAUAGGUUAUCGUUUCAAGGUAUUUUAUUUUAAUCAGAGAUAAUUUAGUCUUUUGGCUUUAUUUACUUGUAAGCCCUAGUCCUCCUCUAUAACAUGGACUUAAGGGCUCAUGAGAGUUGCAUGGUGAGAAGUGUUGUGUUGUAAUCCAAGCCUAUUUUCAUUCUCCCAUCAGGUGCCACUGGAAUCUCCUUCCCGUGGACGUAACCCCCAAGCAAGGGGUUGGGUUUUUGUUGCCCCGCACUUGCAAGAAAGGGCUCUCGCCAUCUUUUUCUUACAUUUCAUAUCUUGAUGUUGUUUCAAUAGUACAUUUUUGUAUCAAUUCCUUACUUCCAAACAGAAGUUUAUUGAUGUUAAUUAACUCUUUCAUCUAUGCUAUUAUGAAU